rnacentral:rRNA from 1 species
GAAUUUUCCGCAAUGGGCGAAAGCCUGACGCAGCGACGCCGCGUGGAGGACGAAGCCCUUCGGGGUGUAAACUCCUUUCGACGGGGACGAAAACCUCGCAAGAGGCUGACGGUACCCGGAUAAGAAGCCCCGGCUAACUACGUGCCAGCAGCCGCGGUAAUACGUAGGGGGCUAGCGUUGCUCGGAAUUACUGGGCGUAAAGGGUCCGUAGGCGGUUGAAUAAGUCGGCGGUGAAAUCUCCCGGCUCAACUGGGAGGGGUCCGCCGAAACUGUUUGACUCGAGGGCCGGAGGGGCGAGUGGAAUUACCGGUGUAGCGGUGAAAUGCGUAGGUCUCGGUAGGAACACCGGAGGCGAAAGCGGCUCGCUGGACGGCACCUGACGCUGAGGGACGAAAGCUGGGGGAGCAAACAGG